ensembl:lncRNA
CUUGUAUUCAAGAUGCAGAUGGAUGUUAUUAGAAAGGUUUUUACUUCGAAUGUGCGCAGCUUGUCCACAUGGCUGAGAUUAGUGCUCAAUACUCAUAUAAUGCUUUUCAGCCUCAAAAGGACUUUACAAGCUCCAGCCCUCAAAACACCCCCACAAGAAUACUUUGACGUUCCAUCUUAUCUCCCUCUUGUUUCCCUGAGAAAGGUAUCUGGCCCCAUAAAGCACUCUGGAGAAAAGGGAAAAAAUAGAUGGAAGACAAAUCGAUGGAGUCUGGUAUCGCUAAUUUAAGGAG